rnacentral:tRNA from 1 species
GCCUGGCGGGCUUAGUCGGUGGAGCGUGUGACUCUUGAUCUCAGGGUCGUGAGUUACAAGUCCCAUGUUGGGCA